rnacentral:rRNA from 1 species
CUCAGGAUGAACGCUGGCGGCGUGCCUAAUACAUGCAAGUCGAACGCACAGCGAAAGGUGCUUGCACCUUUCAAGUGAGUGGCGAACGGGUGAGUAACACGUGGACAACCUGCCUCAAGGCUGGGGAUAACAUUUGGAAACAGAUGCUAAUACCGAAUAAAACUUAGUGUCGCAUGACACAAAGUUAAAAGGCGCUUUGGCGUCACCUAGAGAUGGAUCCGCGGUGCAUUAGUUAGUUGGUGGGGUAAAGGCCUACCAAGACAAUGAUGCAUAGCCGAGUUGAGAGACUGAUCGGCCACAUUGGGACUGAGACACGGCCCAAACUCCUACGGGAGGCUGCAGUAGGGAAUCUUCCACAAUGGGCGAAAGCCUGAUGGAGCAACGCCGCGUGUGUGAUGAAGGCUUUCGGGUCGUAAAGCACUGUUGUAUGGGAAGAACAGCUAGAAUAGGGAAUGAUUUUAGUUUGACGGUACCAUACCAGAAAGGGACGGCUAAAUACGUGCCAGCAGCCGCGGUAAUACGUAUGUCCCGAGCGUUAUCCGGAUUUAUUGGGCGUAAAGCGAGCGCAGACGGUUGAUUAAGUCUGAUGUGAAAGCCCGGAGCUCAACUCCGGAAUGGCAUUGGAAACUGGUUAACUUGAGUGCAGUAGAGGUAAGUGGAACUCCAUGUGUAGCGGUGGAAUGCGUAGAUAUAUGGAAGAACACCAGUGGCGAAGGCGGCUUACUGGACUGUAACUGACGUUGAGGCUCGAAAGUGUGGGUAGCAAACAGGAUUAGAUACCCUGGUAGUCCACACCGUAAACGAUGAACACUAGGUGUUAGGAGGUUUCCGCCUCUUAGUGCCGAAGCUAACGCAUUAAGUGUUCCGCCUGGGGAGUACGACCGCAAGGUUGAAACUCAAAGGAAUUGACGGGGACCCGCACAAGCGGUGGAGCAUGUGGUUUAAUUCGAAGCAACGCGAAGAACCUUACCAGGUCUUGACAUCCUUUGAAGCUUUUAGAGAUAGAAGUGUUCUCUUCGGAGACAAAGUGACAGGUGGUGCAUGGUCGUCGUCAGCUCGUGUCGUGAGAUGUUGGGUUAAGUCCCGCAACGAGCGCAACCCUUAUUGUUAGUUGCCAGCAUUCAGAUGGGCACUCUAGCGAGACUGCCGGUGACAAACCGGAGGAAGGCGGGGACGACGUCAGAUCAUCAUGCCCCUUAUGACCUGGGCUACACACGUGCUACAAUGGCGUAUACAACGAGUUGCCAACCCGCGAGGGUGAGCUAAUCUCUUAAAGUACGUCUCAGUUCGGAUUGUAGUCUGCAACUCGACUACAUGAAGUCGGAAUCGCUAGUAAUCGCGGAUCAGCACGCCGCGGUGAAUACGUUCCCGGGUCUUGUACACACCGCCCGUCACACCAUGGGAGUUUGUAAUGCCCAAAGCCGGUGGCCUAACCUUUUAGGAAGGAGCCGUCUAAGGCAGGACAGAUGACUGGGGUGAAGUCGUAACAAGGUAGCCGUAGGAGAA